GACGAACGCUGGCGGCGUGCUUAACACAUGCAAGUCGAACGGAAAGGCCCUGCUUUUGUGGGGUGCUCGAGUGGCGAACGGGUGAGUAACACGUGAGUAACCUGCCCUUGACUUUGGGAUAACUUCAGGAAACUGGGGCUAAUACCGGAUAGGAGCUCCUGCUGCAUGGUGGGGGUUGGAAAGUUUCGGCGGUUGGGGAUGGACUCGCGGCUUAUCAGCUUGUUGGUGGGGUAGUGGCUUACCAAGGCUUUGAUGGGUAGCCGGCCUGAGAGGGUGACCGGCCACAUUGGGACUGAGAUACGGCCCAGACUCCUACGGGAGGCAGCAGUGGGGAAUAUUGCACAGUGGGCGGAAGCCUGAUGCAGCAACGCCGCGUGCGGGAUGACGGCCUUCGGGUUGUAAACCGCUUUCGCCUGUGACGAAGCGUGAGUGACGGUAAUGGGUAAAGAAGCACCGGCUAACUACGUG
rnacentral:rRNA from 1 species